CCUACGGGGGGCAGCAGUGGGGAAUAUUGCACAAUGGGCGCAAGCCUGAUGCAGCGACGCCGCGUGAGCGAUGAAGGCCUUCGGGUCGUAAAGCUCUGUCCUAAGGGAAGAAUAAUGACGGUACCUUAGGAGGAAGCCCCGGCUAACUACGUGCCAGCAGCCGCGGUUAUACGUAGGGGGCGAGCGUUAUCCGGAAUCACUGGGCGUAAAGGUGGCGUAGGCGGCCCUUCAAGUCAGGCGUUAAAUCCCUCGGCUCAACCGAGGUCAGCUCUUGAAACUGUAGGGCUUGAGUGCAGGAGAGGGGAGCGGAAUUGCUAGUGUCGCAGUGAAAUGCGUAGAUAUUAGGGGGAACACCAGUGGCGGAGGCGGCUCUAUGGACUGCAACUGACGCUGAGGCACGAAACCGUGGGGAGAGAACAGGAUUAGAUACCCUAGUAGUC
rnacentral:rRNA from 1 species